rnacentral:rRNA from 1 species
GUGCCAGCAGCUGCGGUAAUACGUAGGUGGCAAGCGUUGUCCGGAUUUACUGGGCGUAAAGGGAGCGUAGGCGGAUACUUAAGUGGGAUGUGAAAUACCUGGGCUUAACUUGGGUGCUGCAUUCCAAACUGGGUGUCUAGAGUGUUGGAGAGGAAAGUGGAAUUCCUAGUGUAGCGGUGAAAUGCGUAGAGAUUAGGAAGAACACCAGUGGCGAAGGCGACUUUCUGGACAAUAACUGACGCUGAGGCUCGAAAGCGUGGGAGCAAACAGGAUUAGAUACCCUGGUAGUCCACGCCGUAACGAUGGGUACUAGGUGUAGGGGUAUC